rnacentral:rRNA from 1 species
AUGUUAGCGCAUGACUUUAUUGUUAAGAAUAAGGAAGGGGAGCUUAAAUACAAAUUGUUCUUUGAUAAACAUCACCCUGAGACUAUUACCUUGCCUGCUCCUUCCUUGUUUAAUUUAUCUGAAGGUCCGUAUCUUGUUCCGUGGGCGGCCAUUCAAGCCUACCGGAACCCUACACCAGCCCCGGAGCCGGAACCACAAUUUGAGCCUCGACGACAGUCUGAUUACUUUUGGGAUCCGGAGAUGACUGCCAGCCAGUGGCAGUCAGAGUCCUCUUCAUCUCAGUAUGACCCCAGCUACAACUAUGGAUAUCCACUAGGCCAUCCGUGGCAAUGA